rnacentral:rRNA from 1 species
CAGUCGCCGCGGUAAUACGUAGGGUGCAAGCGUUAAUCGGAAUUACUGGGCGUAAAGCGUGCGCAGGCGGUCCGUUAAGACAGAUGUGAAAUCCCCGGGCUUAACCUGGGAACUGCAUUUGUGUCUGGCGGGCUAGAGUAUGGCAGAGGGGGGUAGAAUUCCACGUGUAGCAGUGAAAUGCGUAGAGAUGUGGAGGAAUACCGAUGGCGAAGGCAGCCCCUUGGGCCAAUACUGACGCUCAUGCACGAAAGCGUGGGGAGCAAACAGGAUUAGAUACCCGCGUAGUCCCUGUCUCUUAUAC